UACGUAGGGUGCGAGCGUUAAUCGGAAUUACUGGGCGUAAAGCGUGCGCAGGCGGUUCGGAAAGAAAGAUGUGAAAUCCCAGAGCUUAACUUUGGAACUGCAUUUUUAACUCCCGGGCUAGAGUGUGUCAGAGGGGGGUAGAAUUCCACGUGUAGCAGUGAAAUGCGUAGAGAUGUGGAGGAACACCGAUGGCGAAGGCAGCCCCCUGGGUUAACACUGACGCUCAGGCACGAAAGCGUGGGGAGCAAACAGG
rnacentral:rRNA from 1 species